rnacentral:rRNA from 1 species
AUACGUAUGGGGCGAGCGUUGUCCGGAAUGAUUGGGCGUAAAGGGUACGUAGGCGGUUAAUUAAGUCGAGUGUGAAAGGUUGGGGCUCAACCCCAUAAAGCAUUCGAAACUGGUUAACUUGAGAUGUGGAGAGGAAAGUGGAAUUCCUAGUGUAGCGGGGACAUGCGUAGAUAUUAGGAGGAAUACCAGUAGGGAAGGCGACUUUAUGGACACAAUGUGACGCUGAGGUACGAAAGCGUGGGGAGAAAACAGGAUUAUAUACCCUGGUAGUCCACGCCGUAAACGAUGUAUGCUAGGUGUCGGGGGUCAAACCUCGGUGCCGCCGCUAACGCAUUAAGCAUUCCGCCUGGGGAGUACGCACGCAAGUGUGAAACUCAAAUGAAUUGACGGGG